CCUACGGGUGGCAGCAGUGAGGAAUAUUGGUCAAUGGCCGAAAGGCUGAACCAGCCAAGUCGCGUGAGGGAAGAAUGUCCUAAGGAUUGUAAACCUCUUUUGUCGGGGAGCAAAAAGGCCCUGCGGAGUCGUAUUGGGAGUAACCGAAGAAAAAGCAUCGGCUAAAUCCGUGCCAGCAGCCGCGGUAAUACGGGGGAUGCGGGCGUUAACCGGUUUUGUUGGGGUAAAAGGGUGCGCCGGCGGCGUGUCAAGCCAGCGGUAAAAUAGCGGGGGUCAACCCGGUCGUGCCGUUUGAACUGGCGCGCUUGAGUUCAGGCGAGGUAGGCGGAAUUCGUGGUGUAGCGGUGAAAUGCAUAGAUAUCACGAAGAACUCCGAUUGCGAAGGCAGCUUACCAGACUGCGACUGACGCUCAGGCACGAAAGUGUGGGUAUCGAACAGGAUUAGAUACCCGGGUAGUC
rnacentral:rRNA from 1 species